rnacentral:lncRNA from 1 species
UCCCUUGUCACCAUCUUACGGUGUUUAUAUAUCUCAACUUGUACGAUUCGCUCGUGUAUGUAACAAUGUUUUAGAUUUUAACGAGAGAAAUUUAUGUAUUACUGAAAAAUUAUUACACCAGGGUUUUCGGUAUCACAAACUAGUCAAAACAUUUACUAAAUUUUAUCAUCGGUAUAAAGACAUCAUUCGUAAAUAUAGCUCAACAUGCAGACUUCUAAUACGUUCAGGUAUUUCACAUCCAAUUUUUUAUGGAAAUAUUCUUUAUAAAGCACAAAGGUGUCAGUAUUCACCACAGAAACU